AUGCCCGAAUGCCAGCACGUUCGCUAAAAUUGGAACAGUGCAGAGAAGAUGAGCAUGGCCCCUGCUCAAGCCAUGCAAGUUAAUGAAGCAUUCCGUAUUUUU